ACCUAGCUUUGAACAACUGGCUCCAGGUGGUUUCAUAGAAAGAAACUUUUAAAACACUGAUUUACCUCCUGGUGAUUCUUAACUUGCGAACAGCCAGUUUGAUAGAAGAAUUGCCAGACGGCGCAAUUUUGUUCUUGAUUUCGCCUGAUUUCUGCCAGUUUUUCUUAGUGAAAUAUAAUACAAGGAGUAUAGUUUCAUUACGAUAUACAGUGUUUCCCCUUCACUUACAAAGUGUAUGGAAUUUAAAUUAUUUGCUACAUCCAUGAUUUACAUUUUGCUUCAUGGAUUAACAUUUAGUAAGCAGGCAUGAUUUCACCAAAAGUAUUUUGGGGAAGACCGGUAAACCCUGUUUAACACGCUGGAAGUCUGGAACCUAGGUAUUUCCCUCUCCCUUGUCUGCCCCAUCGCAGUCCUUAAAUAUUUUCUGCCAAAAUCCGCUCCGUGAAGAUUCAGAAGAACGGAAUGAAUCAUGCAGUAAAAUCAUGUCAUGAUCUGUUUUCCCCUGUUUUCUUUCGAUUAAAAUUUCCUGAAUCCACAGAUUUUUUAAAUUUUCCCUUUUUUUCACAGAUAGAGGUUUUAUGAAGUAAACUGACAUAAAGUAACCGAAGUUGUUGACGAGUGAACUGUUAAAAGUUGACCAAUAAAUUGCAAUAAAACGGAUACAACUAAAUACUAUGUGGACAUAGACGUCGUUCUCAAGAACGCCCUGCUUCCACGCUUUGAGGUUUUCCCAUAAAUUAGUAGCGUUUGCACGAUUGCGUUAUUAUGAAAACGUUCGCCGUCGUGUGCAUGUAAGUGGUUAAAGUCGUUUUAUGCUGCAAAUUUUACAGCAUGGAUCAACUUUGUGAGCGGAUUUUUAACAACGUGGUUGUUGACCUAAAUCAAAUUGAUGGAAAAGCUGUUUUGUUUUUUGCUGCCGAAAACGACUAUGGAUGGGUAGUGAGGCAGCUAUAUUUCCAAGGCCUUGACCUCAACUUAACUGAUGACCAGGGAAAAACUGCUGUGUUUUAUGCUAACGAGAACAAGAGCAUGGAUGCACUUUGUGAGUUGAUUAUUAAUGGUGCAAAAUUUAAUUUGAAUGAAAUUGAUGGAAAAGCUGUUUUGUUUUUUGCUGCUGAAAACGAUUAUAGACAGAUAGUAGAGGAUUUAUAUUUCAAAGGCCUUGACCUCAACUUAACUGAUGACCAGGGAAAAACUGCUGUGUUUUAUGCUAACGAGAACAAGAGCAUGGAUGCACUUUGUGAGUUGAUUAUUAAUGGUGCAAAAUUUAAUUUGAAUGAAAUUGAUGGAAAAGCUGUUUUGUUUUUUGCUGCCGAAAACGAUUAUAGACAGAUAGUAGAGGAUUUAUAUUUCAAAGACCUUGACCUCAACUUAACUGAUGACCAGGGAAAAACUGCUGUGUUUUAUGCUAAUGAGAACAACAGCAUCGGUGCACUUUGUGAGUUGAUUAGUAAUCAUGCAAAAUUUAAUUUGAAUGAAAUUGAUGGAAAAGCUGUUUUGUUUUUUGCUGCCGAAAACGACUAUAGACAGAUAGUAGCGGAUUUAUAUUUCAAAGGCCUUGACCUCAACUUAACUGAUGACCAGGGAAAAACUGCUGUGUUUUAUGCUAACGAGAACAAGAGCAUGGAUGCACUUUGUGAGUUGAUUAUUAAUGAUGCAAAAUUUAAUUUGAAUGAAAUUGAUGGAAAAGCUGUUUUGUUUUUUGCUGCCGAAAACAAUUAUAGACAGAUAGUAGAGGAUUUAUAUUUCAAAGGCCUUGACCUCAACUUAACUGAUGACCAGGGAAAAACUGCUGUGUUUUAUGCUAACGAGAACAAGAGCAUGGAUGCACUUUGUGAGUUGAUUAUUAAUGAUGCAAAAUUUAAUUUGAAUGAAAUUGAUGGAAAAGCUGUUUUGUUUUUUGCUGCCGAAAACAAUUAUAGACAGAUAGUAGAGGAUUUAUAUUUCAAAGGCCUUGACCUCAACUUAACUGAUGACCAGGGAAAAACUGCUGUGUUUUAUGCUAACGAGAACAAGAGCAUGGAUGCACUUUGUGAGUUGAUUAUUAAUGAUGCAAAAUUUAAUUUGAAUGAAAUUGAUGGAAAAGCUGUUUUGUUUUUUGCUGCCGAAAACAAUUAUAGACAGAUAGUAGAGGAUUUAUAUUUCAAAGGCCUUGACCUCAACUUAACUGAUGACCAGGGAAAAACUGCUGUGUUUUAUGCUAACGAGAACAAGAGCAUGGAUGCACUUUGGGAGUUGAUUAUUAAUGAUGCAAAAUUUAAUUUGAAUGAAAUUGAUGGAAAAGCUGUUUUGUUUUUUGCUGCCGAAAACAAUUAUAGACAGAUAGUAGAGGAUUUAUAUUUCAAAGGCCUUGACCUCAACUUAACUGAUGACCAGGGAAAAACUGCUGUGUUUUAUGCUAACGAGAACAAUAGCAUGGAUACACUUUGUGAGUUGAUUGGUCAUGAUGCAGAAUUUAAUUUGAAUGAAAUUGAUGGAAAAGCUGUAUUGUUUUAUGCCUCUAAAAAUGAAAAGAACGAUGUAGUAGCACCAUUGCAUGACGCGGGCCUUGACCUCAACAUAACUGAUGACAAGGGUAGGACGGUUGUGUUUAAUUGUGAUCACGAUUUUCUGGAGACCUUAAUGUCAGUGGAUGAUGCAGUUGUGAUAAAUGCAAGAGAUAGCUAUGGUAGAACUCCAUUGUUCUGUGCUCUUCAGGAUUUCUUCCUAAAAGAAGCCCAGUCCCUUGUUGAGAACGGUGGGAACCUUAAGUUAAGAGACAACUGCAACGUUGACAUCUUUUUUUUCUUCGUCGAAAACUGUUUUCACAAGGAUAUAAAAGCAUUGCAGUUAUUUACAUCUGAAUUAUUUAAAGAGGAGCAACAACGGAAAGCGUUGAUUCUUGCUAUAUUUGACAAUAUCUAUUGUCAAAUUCCCCUGCUGUCCGUUGAUAGUUCUUCUCACUUGUCAAAGUUAUACAAGAUUUUUAACAAAUCAAAUAUUUUAGAAGCUUUGGCCUUUGCUCGCCAUCAAUGCCCUCUAAUUUAUAAUGCUGAGAAGGUAGAAAAUAUUGACCUGAUGGCUUCCAUCAUGAGGGAAGAAAACAUCGAUGUACCGCGUAUUUUAUUCUUGCUCAGCAAACUCGAUGCCAAUCCCAAUGCGGCAGAUUCAGCGGGAAAUACAGCUGUUCACUAUGCGGUCAUUUUGCCACUCUUUGGCGUAACGCAAGAGGCCGUCAUGGAUAUGCUUAAGUAUCUAAAGAAAUUUGGAGCCUCCUUCAAUCUGAGGAAUCACCAAAACCAAACGCCUCUGCUAUUUUGUUUGUCAUCCCAUAACUGGAAAGCCCUUGCAUUGAACAAAAAUCGGGAGUCUUCAAUGAAAGGGUUGGUGAAGGUCUUUGGAUUUUUGUUGAACAAUGGUUGUAAUAUUACCGAGAUAUCGCAGAAUGCAGAGUCUAUUUUUCAUCGGAUAAUUUUUCUUAUGAAGGAGUGUCUCGAACUAAAUGAAGACGCAUCAAGAAAGGUUGGUUCACAAGUACUGUUCGAAAUUUUCAUGCUAAUCUCCCAUCCGAAUCAAGCAGUUGUUUUUAGCGUCGCGAACAGCAUUGAUUAUCAGUUAAACUCUCCACUACAUCUUUGGGCGUCUGUUGCAUUGAAAUCACAACACGAUUACGCUAACCUUGUGACUGAAGAACACAUGUUUGAGAGCUUUAUGAGAACACUUUUUGAUCAUCUUUUGAAAUGUGGAGCAAGACUCAAUCUUCGCAAUGGAAAUGAACAAACUCCUCUGCAUGUGAGCAGAACGUGGAUCGCUGUGAAGUUGUUGUUAGAAGCUGGAGCAAACCCGAACGACAUGGAUGCAUCGGGACGUUCACCACUCCUUUCUGCAGCUAUUGACAAAAACUGUCCGAGGAAAACAGCUUGUUUUUACCCUGAUAUCACUGAAGACCCAGAAAUGUUCUGGGAAAAUGUUCUCGAAAAAGGACUUAAUUUCUGGGUUCUUGACAAGAAGGGAGUAUCUCUUUUAAGCGCUCUUAUUGAUUCUGAGGAAUUUGCUCUCACAAGAGCUUUGGUUGAAGUUUCCUGCAAAAAAAACUACGCCACCGAUGAAGUAAAGCUUUCGUUUUUAAAUAUCAUAUAUAAGGACAGGUCUGAGCAUACACAUUGGAAGACUAUUUUGGUUGAAAUUAUUUUAAGCUCAACUAGAACGAACGAUAUUUCUUUGGAUUCACCUCUUCGUUUUUGCUGUAAGAACAUUAUUGAACUUGGUGUGUUGGAUGUCAAGCCACAUUCUGUACAGGAAAAUGCGAACAACGGACCAAGCAAUGAUGAUGGUCAACCACCUCCAAAGAAAAGAAAGAAAAGUGAAUCGUCAGAAGAGGAGGAAGGGAAAGGAGAUCGAUUACGCUCUGAUUCUGUUCAUUGUAAAAUUGUGGCGCAAUUGCUUUCACGCGGAGCGGAUAUUCACAUCCACGACUCGUCUGGUAUAUCUUGCCUCGACAUUGCAAAGGAUUGUCUCCCUCUUCAGAAUCUUCUGCAGAAACCAGUAGAAACCGAUACUCUACCAAUUCGUAUUCCCUGGGCGUCCACUUCGGACAGAUUUAGAGAAAAACUGGCCAAAGUCGCCAGACAGCAGGAAUGUAAAAUACUGAAUCAAAUUUGGUAUCACAAAGAUCUGAUAGGAAGUGGCUCAUUUGGUGAUAUUUUUGCUGGAAUCAAUGAGAAAGACGGUAGGGAAGUGGCCGUGAAACGAAUCGUCAAAUUGCGUAUGCAGCGACCAGAAGAUAGGCGAGAAAUAGAAAAUCUCACAGCUCUUGCUGACUGUCAACAAGUUGUUCGUUAUAUAUCCUGCUUUGUUAAAGGCGAUUUCUUCUUCAUAGUCUUGGAGCUUAUGGAGGGAAAUCUCGAGGAGUAUCUGAGUGGAUGUACUUUAAAUGCCAUGAAAGCAACUACCCUUUGUAGAGAUAUAGUCAAAGGACUUAAGUUUCUGCACAAACAUAAUAUUCUUCAUCGUGAUCUUAAGCCUGGAAAUAUUCUUUACAAAGAACAUCCAAAGCUUUGCUUAAAAAUUGCCGACUUUGGUCUAAGCCGUAAUAAUGAAAGGGUAUCCACUACAACAGUGUAUGGUACACUUGCUGGUACCAGGUGUUGGAUGGCUCCUGAAGUGGUAAAGAACAAAAUCCGUCAUGAGCUGGCAUCAGACAUAUUUUCAUGUGGACUGCUCCUGCACUACAUUCUUUCGAAACAGAAGCAUCCAUUUAGUCCCACUGAUUGUUCGAACAAAAGUGAACUGCAAGUUUCCUUUGAAACAGAAACGAACAUAUUCAAUGAUAAACUGGAAGGAUGGGAUGUCUCUCUUUCUCCUGAAGCCACUCACCUGGUAAAGCGAAUGCUUGGAAGCAAUGAAGGUGACCGGCCAAGUGCACAAGAAGCACUAGAGCAUCCUUUAUUCUGGUCGAAUGGGAAGAAAAAAGAUUUUCUAGAAGCUGUUGGUAAUCAGGAAGAAUUCAAGCGUUCUCGUGCUAAGAGAAUCCCAUCUUUGACUCUCGUGGAGACGGACUUGGAGUCAAGCUUUGGGGCUAUUGUCAAACAUGGAAGGUGGACGAGCUCUCAGUAUACAAACAUGCCUCAGAUUUAUAGUGAGAUGACGAAAGGAAAAUGGAGAAAAUCUUAUGACACCUCGUCUGCUGUGGAGUUAGUACGUUUCAUUCGAAAUGUGUACGAACAUUCCGAUGGCAUAACCCUAGCACCUCCAGUAUCAAUCACGGACUUGCUGUUCAAAGACUUCGUGUUUUUGGAAGAUUUUCCUCAUCUUGUGAUGGAAGUUUACAAAGCUGUAACCGCUCAUGGCUGGGACAAGGCAAGAGAUGAUAUCAAAUUUGCCAUGAACAAGGAGUAAUAAGGUCCGUCAGACGUGGCAAAAUCGAAUAUAAAGUUCAACGUCCUAAACGAGCCUUACUCAACUUGGGUGCAGCUUGGGUCGUUGGUUGAAAAAACACUUUUAAUACUCCGUGAACCUUGUAAGACGUGGAACAACAUGGUUGAACAACCACGUGCCGAACAGUGAACAACAAAAUUGCCAGAGUCAUACCCAGUACCCAACAACAAGCACCACAAGCGCAAUUCUUACACCAAUUCUUGGUUCAUCAUUUUCUUUGGCGUGUCAAAGUUCGCGACGUUUUAUUCCAUGACUUUCGUGACUUUCCCUCGAAAUUCAGGUUCCAGCCGGCUAGAGAAAUAUUUGAAAAUUCGGCUUCUGCGCAUCGGUUCUGCUCACAACAUUGGGGGAUUCCAUGUCAGACCAUGAUUUAGAAAUUGCCCAAUCUCUUAUUCCUUAGAAAUAUAGUGAACUGAAAUGUUAAUUAAUUUUCCGAACAGUAUAUAUGUAAUUUUCAGGACAGUAUAUUUUAAGAGAUACGAUAAACUAACAACCGUUUAUGUAAUGUAACGGUUUGUUUAAUUAUGCUAUGCUAAUGUACCGAAUGCCUACGAAAAUUUAAUGGUGGGUUCCACCCUUCAUGGCUUAAUCCUAGCCCUUUUUUUCAAUAGAUUUAUUCCUUUUAAACGUACAAAUGUUUUUUUAGCGAAUUAUAUAAAAAAACUGUUAGAAUUGACUUCUUGAUGUGGGCUCACCCCCGCACAUAAAUAUACAGGUAUCAGCAUAUGAUACAUGAUUAGUUUUGGAAAAGAUGCAUCAGAAUCUAUUUAUUUUCCGACAUUGAAUAUAAUGGAAUUAUCACCUUCAUAUUUUCGUCCAUUAAAACAAUUUCACUCGUUCGUGUGGCUAUGAUGCGAUACAGUCAAGUACAGCAUAAUCCAUCCAGACCAGUCAGACCAAAGUUCUACUCAAACAAGAGGAAUGAGCAAGUUCGUAAUCGCACGAGGCAAAGAGCGAGAGUGCGUGUCAUAACUGAGGCCAGGCUGAGGCAUAUGGCUCUUUUCACACUUAAUAAAUUAUAACAGAACUUGGACUACACAUGAUGGGUAGACUAGCUAUGAUGCGAUACAAGCCGUACUUUCAUAGUCCAGUCAGUGAAUCAAAACCGAGAAUAGCACUAGCAGCAGCUUUUUUUUACUUGGUUCGUUCUAAAAGCACGAUGAGUUCACAAUAUCGCGUCUGGGGAAACAGAUCAAUUGGUAAAGCUUUGACAAU